rnacentral:tRNA from 1 species
GGGGCUGUGGCAGAAAGGUGUAUGCACCUGGUUGUCAACCAGGACGAUGUCGGUUCGAGUCCGUCCAGUCCCGCCA